UGUGAAUAAAUGUAUCAAAGGAUUUGCUAAAUUUCCAAGAUUUGGGCUGUUUCAGGGGGAAAGAGGAGCAGACGGAGAGGACGGCUUUCCUGUAAGUAUAUAUAUGUCUAUAUCAGGGAAACCAUGACAAUAAUGUGUUGUGGCUCAUGUUUGAUAACGGACCUGUUAUCAUUAGGGACCUGAUGGAGAUGCAGGCAAACCCGGCUCUUCGGGACUACCUGGUAUUCCUGGAAAUGAUGGUUUGACGGGCCCAAUCGGAGAACCCGGUCUAGACGGUCUCCCCGGACAGAAAGUGAGUGACUAAUGAGCCUUCCUGCUUCGAACAUUGUCCGUGAAACGGUGCCAAGCUGCUGUCCAGCCUUUUGGCUCCGUAGCAGGCGCUGCAAUGCAGAAACCAAUUCCUCAUGACAAAUGGGACUUAAUCCUGCAAGUGUUCCGUGUAAUCUCUGCGAGGAGCGGGAGCCCCGGCAUCCGUCCUCAUUAGGCUGAGCAUUGUUAGGUCAAGUGGGCCUGGCGCGGUCAUGUGAUGAGCAGGAGGAAUGUGUCAGCUGCUCGCUCUGAAUGGAAAACAGGCUUUCUACCUGUGUGUUAAGUGUUGAUCCUCAUCCUUCAGGGCGAACCCGGGAAGCCCGGACCCCGAGGAGCAGCCGUGAGUAGCUCUUCCUCCCUCCCUCACCAUCACAGCCCAAACAUUUCAUGCUGUGUACUUUGUUAACGACAUGCCCUCAUAAUGUGUCUGCCUGUAGGGGGUUGGGCCAGAUGGGUCUCCUGGACCACCAGGACCGGGGGGGGCUGCUGGGAGAAAUGGGAAAAUCC
rnacentral:lncRNA from 1 species